UACGUAGGAGGCGAGCGUUGUCCGGAAUUACUGGGCGUAAAGAGCGUGUAGGCGGCCAGACAGGUCCGUUGUGAAAACUCGAGGCUCAACCUCGAGAUGUCGAUGGAAACCGUCUGGCUAGAGUCCGGAAGAGGAGUGUGGAAUUCCUGGUGUAGCGGUGAAAUGCGCAGAUAUCAGGAAGAACACCUAUGGCGAAGGCAGCACUCUGGGACGGUACUGACGCUGAGACGCGAAAGCGUGGGGAGCGAACAGG
rnacentral:rRNA from 1 species